UUUGAUGCUGUAGGCUGUUUGGAAGGUAUAUUGGUACAUACUUCAUUGGAAAAUGUUUGCAUUUAGAGUAUCAUAUAGUGGAGACUGAAGUUCAAAUUUCCAAAUAAGAUUUUCUCCUGAUGCCUUGUUUUUAUAGGGCUUAUGAUCUAUGACCUUAAAACAAUGUGGCAUGUGGCAAGUAAUAGCCCACAUUUUAUACUGUUACCACGGAACAGUAGGAAAGUACCAUUUAUGGAGUGAUGACUUCUAUAAUAUGAAUCCUGUAAGACGCCAACUGUCGUUUGCAUCAAGCCAAGUGGUGAAGAAAACCCGUCGCCAUAAAGAUUUUACCAGACUUUGAUCUCUAAGCAACGAUGGAAAAGUGGAAAGACUUCUUGUGGCUAUGGAAGUUUACUAUGUGGCUCCUACUUAUAUCAUCCAAUAACUGGAUCACCUUUCACUGCAAAAUGACACUUCAAAAACUGCUGCAAAAAUGAAAAAUAUUAUUGGAGUUCUGCAUAGUGCUUUGCCACUUGAAAGCGGGAUGACCAAAGAAUUGUAGCUGCUUGAUAAACUUGAAGAAACAAUUUAGAACAAUAUGGUCGAUUGCGUAUUUGCUACUUUUCAAAAAUCUCCCAUUUUUCACAAAAUGAAUAGGUGAGUUUACACAAUCAAUAUUACGGUUUUUGGUUGUUUACGUAAAUUAGGAUACAGUAUUCAUUUAUUAAACAUUUUUAGGCUGUCCCUCCAGGAAAGCCCAAGGCAGCUUACAAAAUAAAAAUAAUAAAAGUAAAACAUAAAAAGAUAAUAUGUUGUAUAUCUUUAUAAUAGCUUCUCUUGGUAGAAAAAUGUUGUCAUUUCUUUAUUAAAUUGGUAUUACUGAUCUUCCAUCUGUAGGUGUCGCUAUAACACUAUUGACACAACUAAUACCACCGAUACAGCACUCGUCUAGCAAAAAAUUACAAUAAAGUUUAUUGUAAGCAGCUGUUUUUAUUCAUUUUAAUUAUCAGAGGAAGAGCCAUUUCUCCAGCUUGAAGGGAGCAGAUAGCAUUUGAUUUACCAAGCAAGCAAGCACGAAAGACGGAACAUAACCAUAUAAGAACAUUGAUAAAAAUUGCCCCACAACUUUGCUUGUCCUAUCACAUAACUUUAAAUAACCGUUCAUGCUGAGGAAAAGAUAAAUCUGUAAGAAUCUUUGGGUAAGCUCAGCUCUAGAAAGCAGAAAUGCCCUUUUAUCUUGCAGUGAAGCUUCCUGAAGUUCAUCCUUGAUUGUCAUGUGUUUUAAAUUAAUUCUUAAUAAUGAUCUAAGAAUACAGCACAGGUUUGCUAAUCUUAAUUCACACAGCAGCUUGACUCUAUUCUAGCAUCUAAAAUUUAAAAAAAUUAACUAAUCUUAAAAUUUGCAAUGUAAGUAUAUUAAAAAUAUUUUGGUGUUAAUUUAUAUUCCAUCUUAUCUGAGCAGCAGAACAACAUUUUAGCUGUGUAUUUAUAAUGGCUGGUAUAGGUAUGUACCUUUUUAAGCAAUUGCAAUGGAUUGAAUCCAAAGGACCACUUGAGCGCCACUUGUGGAAGAAGUAUUGCCUUCUUAUCCUUUCCUUUUGCAGCCCCAUGCAUGCCUUGUAAUGUGCUUCUAGAAUCACUGGAUGAUCUGGAGUUAAUCUUCAUCUCUCAGAACAUUUGUGAAGCUAAAAUCCAUUUGGAGGUCCUUUGAAAAGGGAUGGGAUGCAGUUGUUGCCAAGAAAUCCUCCUCCUAGUAAUGGGAAAGCUUUUUGCCUUGGGUCUUAUUUUGAAAAUCUUCAAUUCUAACUGUUUAAGAAGAAUUCCAUCUGCACAUACAAACGCUGUGGUUUUUAAAAAUCUUUGUUGUAUUGCUGACUUGUUAUAUUGCUUAAGUGGUCUCCAGAAAUGGCCAACGUCUAUACAUACAUUCUUUAAAAUGUCUUUUUACAUUUAAUAAUAAAU